GACGAACGCUGGCGGCGUGCUUAACACAUGCAAGUCGAACGGGAGGGCCCUGCUUUUGUGGGGUGCUAGAGUGGCGAAGGGGUGAGGAAGACGUGAGUAACGUGCCCUGGACUUUGGGAGAACUUUAGGAAACUGGGGCUAAUACCGGAAGGGGCCACCUGCUGCAAGGAGGGGGGUGGAAAGGUUCGGCGGUUUGGGAUGGACGCGAGGCUUAGCAGCGGGUUGGUGAGGCGGUGGCUUACCAAGGCGUUGACGGGUAGCCGGCCUGAGAGGGUGACCGGCCACAUUGGGCCUGGGGUGCGGCCCGGACGCCUACGGGCGGCAGGGGUGGGGAACAUAGCACGAUGGGCGGAGGCAGGAUGCAGCAACGCUGCGUGCGGGAUGACGGCCUUCGGGUUGUAAACCGCUUUCGCCUGUCACGAAGCGUGAGUGCCGUUAAUGGGUAGAGAAGCACCGCCUACCUACUU
rnacentral:rRNA from 1 species